ACACCGGCAGCUCUAGUGGUAGCUGUUUUUAUUGGGCCUAAAGCGUUCGUAGCCGGUUUGAUAAGUCACUGGUGAAAUCCUGUAGCUUAACUGUGGGAAUUGCUGGUGAUACUGUUGAACUUGAGGUCGGGAGAGGUUAGCGGUAAUCCCAGGGUAGAGGUGAAAUUAUGUAAUCCUGGGAGGACCACCUGUGGCGAAGGCGGCUAACUGGAACGAACCUGACGGUGAGGGACGAAAGCUAGGGGCGCGAACCGGAUUAGAUACCCGGGUAGUCCUAGCCGUAAACGAUGCGGACUUGGUGUUGGGAUGGCUUUGAGCCGCUCCGGUGCCGAAGGGAAGCUGUUAAGUCCGCCGCCUGGGAAGUACGGUCGCAAGACUGAAACUUAAAUGAAUUGGCGGGG
rnacentral:rRNA from 1 species